UACGUAGGGGGCUAGCGUUGCUCGGAAUUACUGGGCGUAAAGCGCACGUAGGCGGCUCUUUAAGUCGGGGGUGAAAUCCUGGAGCUCAACUCCAGAACUGCCUUCGAUACUGUAGAGCUUGAGUUCGGGAGAGGUGAGUGGAACUGCGAGUGUAGAGGUGAAAUUCGUAGAUAUUCGCAAGAACACCAGUGGCGAAGGCGGCUCACUGGCCUGAUACUGACGCUGAGGUGCGAAAGCGUGGGGAGCAAACAGG
rnacentral:rRNA from 1 species